rnacentral:rRNA from 1 species
GACGAACGCUGGCGGCGUGCCUAAUACAUGCAAGUCGAACGCAGUGGGGACGGGUGCGUAACACGUGGGUAACCUCCCAUCAGAGGGGAUAACACUUGGAAACGGGUGCUAAACCGAUACUGAUGGAUGGACCCGCGGUGCAUUAGCUAGUUGGUGAGGUAACGGCUCACCAAGGGCAGGAUGCAUAGGCGGCCCGGAAAGGUGGUCGGCCAACCUGUGACUGAGAAAAGGCCCAGACUCCUACAGGAAGGAGCAGUAGGGGAUCUUCGGCAAUGGGCGAAAGUCUGACCGAGCAACGCCGCGUGAGAGGAGAAGGUUUUCGGAUCGUAAAGCUCUUUUAUUAGAGGAGCGGUAACUAACCAGAAAGGAACGGCUAACUACGUGCCAGCAGCCGCGGUAAUAC